rnacentral:rRNA from 1 species
UACGGAAGAUCCGAGCGUUAUCCGGAAUUACUGGGCGUAAAGAGUUGCGUAGGUGGCAUGUAAAGCGAGUAGUGAAAGGUCCCGGCUCAACCGGGGAUACAUUAUUCGAACUCACAAGCUAGAGCAUAGUAGAGGUACCUGGAAUUCCCAGUGUAGGAGUGAAAUCCGUAGAUAUUGGGAGGAACACCGAUGGCGUAGGCAGGGUACUGGGCUAUUGCUGACACUAAGGCACGAAAGCGUGGGAAUCGAACGGG